GCACAUUUCAGAGCCUUGUUCAAAUUAUUUUUAUAAAAUAAAUUUACUUUUAAGUCCUCUUUCAAAUUUUAUUUCAAUUCUUUAUCCAUAUUAUAAAUUCAAUAAUUGUAACCCAUCCUCUCCUUUUUAUUAACUGCACCUUGAUUUGACAUAUAAAUGUAUUAAAAUUUAUCUAGCUAACUUCACUAUUCUUUUAAAGUUACCUGAUGACAACGGUAUACAAGCUGAAUACUAAUUAAAGGUAAGGUAUAACGUGGAUUGUCGAUUAUGAGACAGGUUCCCCUAAACGGUCUAAAAUACCGCCAAGCUCUUUGAAUUUUAAACUAUUGUUCGUAAUACUCUGGUAAAUUAUUUUUAAUUUAUAUCUAAGAAUAGUGGGGUAUCCAAUCCCAGUUUCCCUCAAAGAUGUCGCAGAUUCAACAUAAAGUUAUUAUUAUAUUAUUAUAUUUAUAUUAAAUUUUACCCUUAUAUAAAUAAUUAAUAAACUAAUAUUUACGUCUAACUACCUUUUUACCAUUAACUGUAUAACUAAAUUUAUUGGUU
rnacentral:rRNA from 1 species